GAGUCGUUAGCUCAGUUGGUAGAGCGAUCUGACUUUUAAUCAGAGGUCGACAGUUCGAGCCAGUCACGACUCA
rnacentral:tRNA from 1 species